AACGCGAAGAACCUUACCUGGGUUUGACAUGCACUGGAUCGCCCUAGAGAUAGGGUUUCCCUUGUGGCUGGUGCACAGGUGGUGCAUGGCUGUCGUCAGCUCGUGUCGUGAGAUGUUGGGUUAAGUCCCGCAACGAGCGCAACCCUUGCCCCAUGUUGCCAGCGGUUCGGCCGGGGACUCGUGGGGGGCUGCCGGGGUCAACUCGGAGGAAGGUGGGGAUGACGUCAAGUCAUCAUGCCCCUUAUGACCUGGGCUACACACGUGCUACAAUGGCCGGUACAGAGGGUGGCGAGACCGUGAGGUGGAGCGAAUCCCAGAAAGCCGGUCUCAGUUCGGAUCGGGGUCUGCAACUCGACCCCGUGAAGUCGGAGUCGCUAGUAAUCGCAGAUCAGCAAUGCUGCGGUGAAUACGUUCCCGGGUCUUGUACACACGC
rnacentral:rRNA from 1 species